UUUGAGAAGUGUCUAUAUGGGACAGAGAGGUCUGUUUCAAAGAGGUGGCUGAACUUCCCGUUCUGACCUAUAAGAACUAGAGCUCUGUCUCUCUAAGGUCAGGCAGGGAGUUUGGCUCCUUAACCAGCCUGCCUCUGUCCCUGACUGAUUGCAGGGCACACUUUACCUCCUCUGAGAGCACUGUCUGGGUGGUCACCAGAUUGGUGAUGGGGAUAUUGUCAUCCUCUCCAUGAAAGUCCUCCUGGAUUCUGCAAAGGAGAAAGAAAUGAUUUUCCUUCCAUCAACAGGAUGAGCCAUCUGAAAGUCUUCUCCUUGUGGUCUCUGGCAUUGGCAUUGGCCUAGAUGGGUCAGAAGAAUCAGAUGGGACAAUUCCAAGACUUGGAAUUCCUGCCUAGUGUUGAUCCUCUGCAAACUGGUGUAAUAGGGCCCUGCUGUCUCUAUUCACUAUAAUAAUGGCUAAGGCACUAAGGUGGCAAUGAUUGAGCCAUUGGAAGGAAGGGGUUCUGGGUGUGGAACCAGAAGACCUGAAUCCAUGCUUACCACUUGUGUGACCCUGAACAAAUCAUUUGUCCUCUCUGAACUUCAGUUUACUCAUCUGUAAAAUGAAAAGAGAAUAAUACUUGGCAGUACUUACCUUGCUUGGUUGCCAUGAAGAAAACAUUUUAUAAACCUUGA